CUUCAGCCGCCGCCUCUCAUCCUCUGUUCCUCGUUCCGCCUCGCCGCUGCACUGCUUCUGUCUCCGUUCCGUACUUGCCAUCGCCGCUCCCCGUUUCUCGCCAUCGCCAUCGCCUUGCUUGUUGCCUGCUUGCCGCGUCGCCGCUGUACUUCCUCAUGACUCCUCUCGCUUUUUUUGAGGGAUCAUGGCUCCUCUCGCUGCUGCUGUUGCGUUUGGUUAGGGGUGCCUGCGGCUGCUUAGUCGUGCGUCCGUGCGGCUGUUUCUUCCUUCUUUCCGAGGUGGUUGUUGGUUGAGUGUGAGCAUUGUAGUCCUUCAUCGAUCUCUGAUCUUGUUCGUCAAUGAAUUCUGCGCCUUUCACCAUCGCCUAGAAAUCGCACUAAUCAGUUCGUCGUCAGAUUUGCCUUGCUGUUUCAUCUGCUCAAAGGAUCAUCUUUCUCUUCAGAGAUUCUGAGAGAGAAUGUUAUGUGCCGAGGCUGAGUCGCGGACGGCGGCGGGAUGCGAUCUGGCGGCGCGGCGACCGGAUGUGGUCUGGAAAAUCGGUGGGGCGUCGCCGUGCGGUGCUGGUGGUGGUGUUGUCGAUGUGGGGAUGGCGCUCCGCGGCCAGGAUGCCGCGUUCGUCCUUCCCAUGCGGUUCCCUUGUACGCCUUAUUCGUCAUCGACCGCAUGGUAUACAAGGAUUUAGAGUACCAAACAUGCAGUUGUAUAUGAAAAAGGCAAGCACACAAUUGUAACACUCACAGGGAGCACUACAGGGGAUUUCAUGAGCAUGAGCUGUGCUGUACGCUUUAAUAGGAAAUGAACUUAACUGAACUUGUUGCUGACGUUUAAAAUUCAGCUAUCUACAGAGAAACAAUAAAUACCAGUGUACUAUAGAUUUUCUUGUAUAACGUUCCAAGCAAGAUGGUUCGGAUGGUUCUUAUUUUUCCUCUUAGUGAUUUUGAGCAAGACUGGUAUAUGUCUGCCCACAUAAAGGUGUCUUGUUUUUUUGAAUUUUUUGACAAUAUGGUCAUGCAUUCUGAAUUUUUGACAGUAAGCUCGUCUUUAUGGGAUUGCAUUCUGAAUUUUUUACAUAAUCAACAUGUGUAUAGACUGGUGUUGCCUGAGCUGCCUUAGAGAAAGUGAGAACUAUUGCCCAUUACAAACAUGGUGUUCUGUUGAGUGAAAUGUAAAUUUAAGGUUACCUGACUAUGUUUGCCUAUUGGGCAUAAUUUAGGUGUACUUAGAAUUGCACACACUGACCUGGGUGGUCAGUUUCGCAAGAUAUUUUAUUAGUAUAAUUUGGAAUAGCCAAAAUCAUAGAGAAAUUAAGAUUGUUAUAUAGUUUUUUUUCAAACUUGUGUGGUUUCCUCCUAACCAGCGCUGAAGCUUGUAGGACCUUCCUACAUGAUUAAAAAUUAGCAUAGCAUUGUUAGUUGGUUUUGUGGACACUCUAUUAUGAUGUGAAUGUAUAAAUAGAAGAUUUUAGGUGUACUUGGAAAUUGCAUAGACUGACUUGCAUAUAGGGUGUCUACUGUGGUGUGCACUUUCAAACAAGAACUGAGCUUGUUUGUGCCAUUUAAAAUACAAUGAUUUGCAAAGAAACAACAAAUAAGUUGCCCAUUUUAGAAGUGCUGCAGCAGAUCAUGAAUCGAUUGGUGUUUCGAAUGUGCUAAAUGCACAUUAAGAUUCAGUUUCGCUUACUGUAUCAGAUACAUGAAUAUCUUUGUCAUCAAUAGAUCCAUUAUAUAUUAAUCUAUUUUACUAUAUCUCUUUUCUAUUUUGCCUUCCUGAUUGUACUCUGCUCUAUCCAUUUUGCCUUACAUAGAGUAUUGCGUGCCUUCCCGGUUGAUCACGUAGUUACUUACCUGUGCAUAUAAUUGUCAUCACUCUUUUUCAUGAUCACUACAUGGGAAAAGUCUAGCGGCAGCGUGGAUUUUAGGCCUAUCAGUAGUGCGAGAUAGAGCGCUACUGGUACGGCGCUACAGCUAAAGGUUAGCAGUAGCGUGGGUUAACACAUGCUACUGCUAUAUCGACUUAGUAGUAGCGUUUUCUUCAAACAGC